rnacentral:rRNA from 1 species
AGAGACAGCAGUCGCCACGGGAAUACGGAGGGUGCAAGCGUUAAUCGGAAUUACUGGGCGUAAAGCGCACGCAGGCGGUCUGACAAGUCAGAUGUGAAAUCCCCGGGCUUAACCUGGGAACUGCAUUUGAAACUGUCAGGCUGGAGUCUUGUAGAGGGGGGUAGAAUUCCAGGUGUAGCGGUGAAAUGCGUAGAGAUCUGGAGGAAUACCGGUGGCGAAGGCGGCCCCCUGGACAAAGACUGACGCUCAGGUGCGAAAGCGUGGGGAGCAAACAGGAUUAGAUACCCCAGUAGUCCCUGUCUCUUAUAC